rnacentral:rRNA from 1 species
UACGUAGGGGGCAAGCGUUGUCCGGAAUCAUUGGGCGUAAAGCGCGUGUAGGCGGCUUGGUAAGUCCGCUCUGAAAGCCCGGGGCUCAACCCCGGGAGGCGGGUGGAUACUGUCAGGCUCGAGUCCGGAAGAGGAGAGUGGAAUUCCUGGUGUAGCGGUGAAAUGCGCAGAUAUCAGGAAGAACACCCGUGGCGAAGGCAGCUCGCUAGGACGGUACUGACGCUGAGACGCGAAAGCGUGGGGAGCGAACAGG